UAUACAGACCCUCUACUUCGCAUGCACGUCAGAUGACGUAGGAAAGCAAGAUAAACUCUAAUCUAAUUGGCUUUGCAACUCAAUCAAUUGAAAAAUGAGAUAUGCUGGUGUGACAUCUCACACCAGCAGGUGGGAUCCUCAAGAAGGAUCCAUGCCCAAAGAGAGGAGGCGGCAACAAAGGGAGAGAUGUAGAAGAUGAAGGAUCUCUCUCUUCACACCU
rnacentral:lncRNA from 1 species